GUUGUGCACUUCUGGGUAAGAGUCCUUUAUGAGUAACUGCAUAUGCAGCUAUUUUGCUGUGUACAAGAGAUUUGGUGAUGGCUUCCCAAUGUAUGCCCAUUAUUGGAACGUAAGUGAAAUAGGAACAUAUGAAAGCUACCUACAUGCUAAGCAUGACGAGGCAGAGUGUCCUGUAUUGUAGAAUGUAGUGGCUAAAUGAAGGUGUGUGGCCUGUUAAUUUGUAAGCCUUCCUUUCCUUUAAACAGAUACCUCCAUGCACUACUUGUCUGUAGUUUAAUUCAGAGCAGGGAAAGCUGCAACACUUGUGGCCGGGUUAAGUCUGGUGAAAGGUGCUUUGGUUCCUCCCCUGAAAUAUGCCUAGAAUUGAAUUAGUGGUGGCUUAAACACACACCAGUUGCUGAUGGCAAUUUGUUUCAACCAGAUUUUUGGAAUGCUAUCCUGAAUUCUUCGGAGGAAGAAUGGAAUAUGAAUGCAGUUAAGAAAAACUGAUGGAGAGGUGGUAGAACACUUAAUGGCAGCGCUUGUGUCGCAGGAAGGUCUUCACGCACAACUGCUCCUGGCAGUAUUGGCCAUAGAUUUAAGAAAUCAGAGCUGGAGGCAGGCAGAGUUCUGUAGCACUUGGCUUCUGAGCUGGAGUGACCACACAAAAAGAGGCAAUGCAGGAAAGGGCGAGGGGUGGGUGGGUGGGCUUCUUACCUUGAUUGAGGCACCUGCAAAUCUUGCCAGCUGCUUAAUGUGUUGGCCCUUCUUCCCGAUAAUUGCACCCACUGCCUGUGUUGGGAUGAACAAGUUCACCACCUCUUGCUCUGGCAACUGUGGACAGCAAAGGGACAUGAAAUGCAUAUUGGGAAGAAAAACGAAGCUUUCCCACCUGUAUCGCUUUCCCAAGGUGAGGAGCAGCAAGCAAGGAAGCAAGCAAGCCCUGGCUCAUGUCAGACGACAGGCAAAAUCCACCCCAGCAGUGAAAUGACAAGCACUCCUCAAGGAAAUCUCAGACGGAAGGAGGAAAGGAGAAUGCAAGGAAGAGUUAAAGCAGAGAGCUAUCACCAGGGACUGGGAGUUAAAUACAGUGAGCACCAUGCAAAUCAAACUAUUCAGACAACUGAAGACCUACUGAAAUCUACUGGAUUUACAGUGCAAACCUAUACACGCCUACUGAGGAGCAGGUCUCAUCAAGUUCAGUGGGGCAAACAAACCAGGGAGAGCAAUCUGGUCAAAGCAAAUAAUGGGAGUAUUAAGUGUGUGUGUGUGUUGCUGUCUGCUGCUAUGACAAAGAGUUUUGGCAAAGCCAGCGAAAUCCAGCCAAAACGAUGGUCAUGGUGUGGUGUUGUCGUAUCUUCUCUCAAUCGACUGCCCCUCUUUCAACAUACAAGGGUGUCGUACCCCUUUGAUUGUUGAUAUAUACUGUAAUGGUACAAAAAGAAAUAAAACUAUUGCUUUCUAUUUCCA